rnacentral:rRNA from 1 species
GACGAACGCUGGCGGCGUGCUUAACACAUGCAAGUCGAACGGAAAGGCCCUGCUUUUGUGGGGUGCUCGAGUGGCGAACGGGUGAGUAACACGUGAGUAACCUGCCCUUGACUUUGGGAUAACUUCAGGAAACUGGGGCUAAUACCGGAUAGGAGCUCCUGCUGCAUGGUGGGGGUUGGAAAGUUUCGGCGGUUGGGGAUGGACUCGCGGCUUAUCAGCUUGUUGGUGGGGUAGUGGCUUACCAAGGCUUUGACGGGUAGCCGGCCUGAGAGGGUGACCGGCCACAUGGGGACUGAGAUACGGCCCAGACUCGUACGGGAGGCAGCGGUGGGGAAUAUUGCACAAUGGGCGGAAGCCUGAUGCAGCAACGCCGCGUGCGGGAUGACGGCCUUCGGGUUGUAAACCGCUUUCGCCUGUGACGAAGCGUGAGUGACGGUAAUGGGUAAAGAAGCACCGGCUAACUACGUG